rnacentral:rRNA from 1 species
AGCGUAGACGGAGUGGCAAGUCUGAUGUGAAAACCCGGGGCUCAACCCCGGGACUGCAUUGGAAACUGUCAAUCUAGAGUACCGGAGAGGUAAGCGGAAUUCCUAGUGUAGCGGUGAAAUGCGUAGAUAUUAGGAGGAACACCAGUGGCGAAGGCGGCUUACUGGACGGUAACUGACGUUGAGGCUCGAAAGCGUGGGGAGCAAACA